ensembl:lncRNA
CGCCGCACUUGCGCAGUAGUAUAUUCUCGCCGAAUCUACUGAACUGAGCUCAGAUUUAUCUUCGUAAACAAUUGAACAUCCAACUUUUAAAAGGGCCCCUAACGGGACCCUUCUGCUGAAGGCCUCGCCAGAAGCUCAGGCUGUGGGGCCCCGGCAGGCCGGCUACAGGGCCAGACCAGCGCAGGAGGUGGAGGAGGAGGCCCGGGCCCACGUCGUCUCCGAGGGUGGCGACGUCACCAACGCCACCCUGGUGCUGAGCCGGUGGAGGGUCCAGUUCGGCCGUUACCAGGGCCAGACCUUCCACUGGCUCCUGGAGAACGACGUGGGCUACGCCGUUAAUCUGGUUUCCUCUCACCAGAAGGAGCGAGAGAGGAUAGGGUCUCAGUCCCCGCUGAUGGCCAACAAGGAUGCCUUCACCCGGUACUCCUCAGACUACCAGGACUUUGUGGAAGCCGUUAGGUUCCACAAAGCAUUUGAGGAGGCCCGGGUGAAGUCCCUCCAGCCUGGGCAGGAGGGACAGGCCCUUGUUGGCUUCGGUGUCUUCAAAUUUGAGACCCUGCAGAGCCUGUACGAGGCUGAGGACCCAAAGAAGAUCCGAUUCGUCAACUACCUGAGGAGGAAGGCGCCAGCUCCAGGCACGCAGAUGGAGAACGCCGUCUGCUACGUCAGAAGCCGAGACAGACAGAGGAGGAACCCUGCUGCUGCUGCUGCUGCUGCCACCACCGCUACCAGGACCUCCACCUCCUCCACCGUCAGCAGCAGCUCUGCCUCUGUCUCGGCUUCGACGCAGGGUCCCAGAGCUGCAUCCCAUUCGGUUUCAGAUUUGCAGCCUUUGUCUCUGGCCGGCGUUCUCUGUCUGCGGUGGAAAUGCAGGCAAAGAUAAAGAAGCUGGUGGUGUCUAAGCCUGCAUUUCCAGCCUCCUCCAGACCAGCUCUUUCCUCAAAACCACCCGAGGACCCCACGGAUGAAGAGCUGGUCCAGGCAGUAGUUGACGUAGAGGAGUAAGAACUGGAAACCAAACACCUCAGCAGUACAGGCCCCUCUCUCACUCCUCCCUCCUCCUCCACCUCCUGUUACCUCCUCCCCGCCACGGGGGCAACAUGGAGACACUGCAGGGCCAGAGGAGCCCACUGAUGAGGAGAUGCUGGAGGCCUCACAGGAGCCUCAUGCUCCUCUGGCCCAGGCUCCACCACCAGCCCAGGCUCCACCUCUGGUGGCCCCAGCGGCCCAGGCUCCACCACCAGCCCAGGCUCCACCACCAGCCCAGGCUCCACCACGGGUCCAGGCUCCACCAGCGGUCCAGGCUCCACCACCACCUGCACUUACGGAGCAGAUGGCUGCCCCACCACCUCCUCCACCUGCUGGCAGUGCUGAGCUGCUCCCUGACUCCUGGAGAGCAGCUCUCACUGCAGAGCAGCAGCAGUGGAUCGGCCGGGUGCUGUUUUCCAGGGACAGCUCGGGGAGGCCACGGCUCAUCGGAGACCUGAACCUCUGGUGGUACCUUCCCCAGACCCGGCCGGUCUACAGUCAGCCUCCCGCGUCCCCCGACCCCUUCUUCACAUGUCGGCUGUUCCUGUGGAUGCCACACAGGAUCUGGCGUCUGCAGCUGACAUGCCCCCAGCCUUCAUGCACAGGGUCCAUGAUGAAGGCUGGGCUGUACAGGACCAUCCGGAGGGUCCUGGACAUCGACGGCUGGUAUCUCAUGGCCACUGAGUACCUAGAGUGCCAUCGAUGUAAGAAGAAGGUCGGAGGCUGGUCACAGGGCAUCAUCAGGCAGCUGCCUCACACCUACAGCUGCCAAUUUCCUGCUGUACUCACGUACAGGUUGUCCUGUGACCUGAGGGUGGUUGCACAGCUGAAGUCCCGCACUCUUGGCAACAGUGCCACUCAGCUGUGCAACACCCUGCGGGAGACCCACGCUGACUCCUGGAUGCGGAGAGCGAUCCACUACCUCGGCGUGUGCGAGCAGUUCCUGGCCUUGUGCUCCGUGAGGGGGCCGUUUCCACCACCGCCCCAGAUGCCCCCUCUGCCGUCAGCUGAGUGGCUGCUGACGGUCUACGGCUAUGACGUCCUGAUGCGGCUGGAGGAGGGAUCACGUCCACCUUUGGAUCCAUCUUGAAGAUGGAUUCAACCAAGAAGGUGACGAAGAAGCUUGCAGGUAUCGCCUCGGACACGGCCGUGUGGGUUACCAACGUCGGUAACGAGCAUGGGCAGGUCCUCAUCAGUGUCCUCACCUCCUCAGAGGGCUCCGAGGGCCUGUCCUGCAUGGCGGCCGGAUUGAUGAGGCGAUACCAGCACGCCGGGGUAGCUCCCCCCCAGCUCAUCUACGUCGACCGUGACUGCUGCAGCCGAGACGGCGUGUCCAAGACAGCUGCCUUAUUUCCAGAGUGGGGAAAGCUGCUGGUGAGGCUGGACAUCUGGCACCUGAUGCGGCGCUUCGCAUCAGGUGUCACCACUGAGUCUCACCAGCUCUACCCCACUUUCAUGAGGCAGCUGUCUCAUUGCAUCUUCGAGGUGGACUCUGGAGAUGCCUGCCGUCUCGCUGAGGCCAAGCGGUCCGAGCUGGAUGGGAAGCACGGGGUGGUCGGCCUGACGGACGCCGAGGUGAUCCGGAGGAUCUCCAAGGAGGAGUGGAGGCUCCACUGUCGUCGGCGGACGCGUUGGGCCGAGGAGACCGCACUCCUCAUCAACGACCUCCUGGACACCUUCGGCGGUCCGGCCGGACGCGACACCCUGGACAUCCCGCUGCUAGACGCUCUCCGCAUCCAGGACAUCUGGAAGACGCAGAGACGCCACCUCAGCUGCAUUCAGGACCCACCGGGGGUGCAGCUGUACACCCAGACCGGCAGGCUGACAAAGGGCGGGGUCAGCCUGCCAGUUUAUCGCUGCGCCAGGGGCUCCACGUCCCUGGAGUCCUUCCACCUCCACCGGUUCAUCCCAGGUAACAGUGCCAGCGCCAAAUACUUCCAGGCGUUCCUGGUUGAUGGACUGGUGAGGUGGAAUGAGGACAGAGCAGCAGCAGCUGCACCUCCGGUUGCAGCUGAGGAGCAAGUGGCGUCUCUGCGCUCCUACUGUGGCCACCUCAAGCACAUCCUGAACCAGAAGAGCCAACGGGUGCUUGGCCUUCACAUGGUUCAGGACUUCACCAGGCCUGCUGCGUACACAGGUGAGCUCAUCGGGGUGGAGUACCUGUACCAGCAGACCGGACGUGUGCUUGAGGAUGUCAGUCUGGACCCUGACGCUCCGGACGAGGCUGCUGCCAUCCAGGCGCUGGAGGAGGCGGAUGAGGGGUUCGAGGACGACGUCGGGGACCCCACGGUCUUCGAGCCAGAGCCCCCCGCCGCCAUCACAGCGGCAGCAGCCCGGUCAGGUGAUCCAGCUGACGCACCCAGGUCUGAGCCAUCCUGUCUGGCCGCCCCUGACCAGGACGCCCCUCCUGAGGCCCCUGAAGGACCAACUCCGGCUGCCCCACACUCCUCCGACUCUGAGGAGGAGAUCCAGUGUGUCCUGAAGCUGGCCCAGGCCCUGGUGGAGAUCCGGAACCUUCAGGGGCUCUCUGACAGCAGGGUAGACAGGCUCAUUGCACUCUGGCAACGCCUGCCAGAGUGUGACAAGCGCCGAGUCGUCUACCCUGCCAGACACCAGGAGAGGCAGCCCACGGGGCGGUUCAAGGCAGCGAAGGGGAAGAACACCUCCUGUCCUGGAAAGGAGAGUCUCUAAAGCUGCCUGCUCGGACAGAACGCGGGCCCUGCAAACUGGCCCAGCGCCAGUCGCCUGGUCGAGGCCGCUUGCAGCCAGCUCUGCCGUCUCCACCCAGCCACAGCCCGUGUCGGUGGGGUCCCAAAGACCCGGUGGUCCCUGGUCCUCACCGACUACGUGGCCAUCAGAGAGGCAGUGCUGGUGUGCCCGCGUCUGAUGGCUCAGACCACCAUCCAGCUCUUUGAGCUGAAUCAGAGGACCCUGUCUCAGUGGUUCUCACGUCAUCAGAAGGCCUGGGAGAGGACUGUGCUGGAGCAGGGAACUGGCAUCGUCUCUGCUCCAGCAGUAGCAGAUGAGCCUCUCCCUGCUGCCAAAGGGCUGUCCCUGGUGCAGGUGGGACAGGGACAGCCAUUCGUGUUCCCUGGACCUGAGGAGCAGCCUGGACCAUCAGCUGGAGGUCAGCCAGCCCCUCCUCCUCCUCCUCCUCCGCCGCCUCAUCAGCAUCCUCCUCCUCCUCCGCCGCCUCAUCAGCAUCCUCCAGCCAUCGGCUCUGCUCCUGCAGCCGCUCCUCUUCCUGGACUGACUCGGCUGCCGAGGACGACGGCUUACAGGAAGAGGAAGGCAGCCGAGGCGGCUGCUGCGGCUGCUGCUGCGGGAGAGGGCCCUCCACCAGGGACUAAAGCCCGCCGGCAGACUGCACAGUACACCUGCAGUAAGUGUGGCCAGCUCAAACGGCUGGACACUGGCCACACACGCAUUGCGGGUGUGUCGUACUGUGCAGCUGUCGGCGGGAUGACUGUAGAGGAGUGGAGGGAGAAUAUGAGGAGGCCUCCAGAGGAGAAAGGGGACUAAAAUUUUUUUUUUCAUUAAAAUUAUUUUUGGUUAAAUACAUGUUAAGAUAUAUAUAUAUAUAUAUAUAUAUAUAUAUAUAUAUAUAUAUAUAUAUAUAUAUAUAUAUAUAUAAAUAAAAAUAAAAAUAGAAUUUAUUAAAUAAAGAGAAUGUCAUCUGCAUCUUGAUUCUUCCUGUUGUUUAUUUCCAUCACACUGAGGACAUCUGAACUUCAGCAGCUCAGUAAAACACAUUAACACAGAGGUCAGAGG